ACACAGUACACAGGUACCAUACAUUACACAUACACACACACACAGGUACUAUACAUUACACACACACACACAGUACACAGGUACCAUACAUUACACACACACAGUACACAGGUACCAUACAUUACACACACACACACACACAGUACACAG